ensembl:snRNA U6 U6 spliceosomal RNA
GUCCUCACUUUGACAGCACAUAAACUAAAAUUGGAAUAAUACAGAGAAGACUAUAUGGCCCCUACACAGGGAUGACACCCCAAAUUGUGAAGCAUUCCACAUUAAA